AGGUCAGCGCAGCGUGUGCUGCUGAAGGUCCUGCAGGCGGUCGUUACCGAUUCCAGGCAUGCCUUGGGCUGGCACAGUGACACGUUCCUGGGACACCUUGAAGACGGAGGAGAGAACUGAUCUGAGGUGGUCAGAGCUGGCUGUGCUGACCUUACUCCUGGCAGAUAGCCACUCUCCCUGCUCUGGCCCAACCACGCCACCCACCAGAGAGCAACGCAAUCAAACGUGGAGGAGGAGCACAGCCACUACACUGCUGGGCUCAAGGGCACAAAGGAUUGUACAACACUCAGGUAAAGGGCGAAAGCUGGACCUGUGGGAAGUGUAAGGAUCAGCAUUUCAGCCCUAGCACAAAUUUGUUGUGAAAUGGGUAAAGAGAACAAGCUGGAAGGUAAAAGGAUUUUUUUAGGACAGCUCUAAACUUCACCAUUGCUGCAACUUGCUGAAAUGUUUGGAAGAUGCAGAGAGGUGGUACACAGCUAGCUCAGUUCUCUGGGCUGAGCUGAAAAACGAAGUCUGAUGCUCUAAGGGAAGUUGAGAUAAUAGUUGGACAGGCCUGAUCUGGUUCUGACCUGGAGGCUUUUGGCCCCCAUUGUCCUGAAAGGACACUGAGCACACUCAGGACUUAACAGAAUUGAGUUUUCAGUUUGGGGAAGGAGUCUUCAUCUGCUGUGGUUGGUUCACAUGCUGUAAGGUUUUGUAUUUCUUACUAUCACUUAUAUCUUAGAACUGUGGCUGUUUGCAUCAAUAUCAAUCUGUCUCCCAGUUUGCAGAGCAAGAAAGUAAAGCAGUGCUGUACAGGCGAGUAGUGUAGAUGUGCACAGAGCAGUACGGUGGUGGGUCAAAGCUUCCAGCAGCAUGUAGUAGGUAUGACCACAGCAUUAGUGGGAGGAAAUGUGAAUUCCUUUGGGUCCUACUGAGAGCUCUGAACCCAUCUGGAGCUAACCAAUUCUUCUGUCGUAUGAGUCCUGAACCUCUAACUGCCUGUCUGUCCUUCUCAGAAAAGUGAUGUGGCUGUGUAACCUUCCCCUCACUCCCCUUACCCUCCAGAUUCUGCUACAAAUCUGUAAAUCGUAUAAGAGUAGACUGGCACUAGAGGAGUGAAGUUGUUCUCAGUUCCUGGCUGUACCUCUGCUUCCAGCCUCUGGGGACGAGAAAGGUCAGCGCAUGCACAUGCAAAGCUGAGACCUCCGCCUCUUGCCCAAAGUGAUCUUUGUGUUCCUGAACCUCUUUGCAAGGGCAGUUAUCAUUGCUAUUCAGCCGGUGUUCAGCAUCUGACAUAAACAGUCUCUGAUCAUAUUAGUAGGCUCUCAGGUACUUCUACAGUACAAAUAAUAAAUAAUAAUGAGCUGCAAGGAAGACCUCUGAGUUUUGGAUGUCUGCUCAGGCUGGGCUCUUACAGCUUCCACCUGAUGCAUCCCCUUUGAAGACCCUUCUGGGCCACUGUUGCUGGCAGUGCAGCAAUGCUGCCAAAAGAGUGGCCUGGGAAUAGGGUCCCUUUGUGCUAGGUGUGAAGGAAAAGGUGGUCCUCAGCCCAGGGAAGUGUGCUUGGAAGUGUGGUGGGGUGGGUUCCUGUGUAGUGGUGGCUUGGUUGUCUUGAUGGUCCUGCCGAGGGCAGCAGGACAUUCCCUCACAUGUUGGGUGGGAAGAAGUGCCAGCCCUGGGCAGAGGCUGUGGCUUUUCGUCCCUCUGCUGCACACUGCAAUGUGAAAAUACAAAAUGGUGCCAUGGGAGAUGCUGUGCGGCUGUUACCAGACAUGAGAGAGACGCAUUUGUGCGUGGAAUCUCCGGGCUGGUGGCCUUUUAAUGACUGAGCUGGAUUACACUCAGGAAAUGUAUAGGAAACCUUACAUUAAAACAGAAGGAUACUUGAAUGGUUCAGCAGCUGGUAACCGGGGACUGGCUUGUGUUAUUACACACAUUACUCUGGACAAAGUGUUGGUUUGUAUUUGCUGUAGCCAGCAAGAGCUCUUUUUAGAAGAGCUGGCGUUGCAGCACAGGUAGCACACCCAGCACGGGGGGCUUGCUGUGCGUGGCUCUUUGGUGGCACUGCAGGGAAUACCUGUGCCAGUUGGUGUCUAUGCAAAGGAGAAGGCUGUCCAGAAAGCAGGGGUUACAGCAGCAUUGCUGUUUUUUUUCUUUCUAGUCUUGUCACAGAUGAAAGAAACGCAAUGCAUUCAAAGCAAAGCUUGUCUUCAGAUGGAAGCUGUGAGACUCUCUUACUGUGCUGUUUUCGCAGCCUCUUGGGGUUUCUCUCUAGUCCCGUUCCUUACAAAAAGCUGCUGAAGAUGUGGCUCUCAGUAAAGCGUGGAUGUGUGAAUUAAUGAGGAAAUGCCUGAGUGCAGGGAAUGAAAAUCAAGGCUCCGAGCUCACUUGUCAGAGCGGGUCGUGCUGGGUGCAGACAGGUGCUGCAGCUGUUCCCAUGCACAAAGAACGAAAUGCCUGGCUUGGCACCCGCACGCACCUCACAACAGCAACCAAGCCUUGUACAAACAGUGAGGACCAGAGCCCAGCUCAACUCCAGGCCAAAUUUCCUGCUCUGGUUCGUUGGUCGGGCUGCUGGCUCAACAUCACCUGAGUAUUGCAGCAUUUCUCCCCCUAAAGAGUGUCUCUUUGGGGACUGGUGUUGAAUGAAACGAGACAGAAAUGGUUCUUCCCUUGGGCAGCCCCUUCCCAUCCCAACACCAGUUGUGCUUCCCACAUUUUUCCAUCUCUCAGCACUAACCCUACCUGAAGAGAGACCUUUGACCAAAGCCCUGCAGCUGUGGUCCGUAAGAAGAAUUGCUCACAGCCAAGUUCUUCUUGGGGCUCAGCCCUCACCAGCCAGGCAACUGUGGACUGCUGAAAGGAAAGUGGAAGGAUAUUGUUUAGAGGGAAAGCCUGUCCUUGGCCUGUCUUCCACUGUGCUUUUUGUUCCUUGGCUUUGAUUUCCCUUGAGGACCAAUGGGGCUCUGCUGAGCAUCUCAUACCCGUUUGGCCCGUGUCGCACAGGGGGUCAGGUCAGAUGGAUACCUGGCUGCUGGUAGAAAGGCAGCAGCACUGAUCCUGGGGUGUUGGUUGCACAAUACGAGAGCUCAUGGGUUAAAUGCAAGAAAGACAAAGCUUUGUCCAAAGUCACAAAGUGAGUCAGAUCCCAGAAUAAACCUGGAUCCUCUCAAAUGGCAGAUUAAUGCCCAGGGACUGGCCUGUAGCUGCUGUACCUGCUCCCUUGGAGCCCUCUGUGAUGGGAGGAAACUCCUGGCUCCCUGUGUCGAUUCAUGAGACGAGAGGUCUGCUGAGCUGUCGUUUCCUCCAGGGCAGUGCUCAGCAGGGUAGUCAGCAGUUUGUCAUCCCUGCCCUUUCUACCCGUAGCAAUUGCUGCCACCAGUGAGUAAUUGGUUAUUAUUAUUAAAGCCACGGGGAAUGUUAUGAGAUUGUUUUAUAAGGGGUGGGGGAAAUCAUUUUAUAAAAUGGAGGGCACCAGCAUAGCUUCUCUUCUCUGUAAUGGGAGGUAAAUACCUGCAGAAGGUGAGCUGGGAGGUUGUUCUUUCUGAGGAAAGAAAGCAAGAGGUGAUACAAGUGAUCAGUGGCAGCUGAGGAGAUCUGAGCCUUGUUUUGCAGUCCCCUGCCUUGAGAGCUGCUUUAUGGGUAGCUGAGGGUAAGGAUGCUGGGCUAAUCCUUCCUGACGGAGCUCUGUACAGCCAAAGGCAGGUGCCAGUUGCGUGUGGUGGAUUUGUGCUGAUUUCUGAAGCCAAGAGUUAAACUGAGAGGCAGAGCCUUGGAAGAGCGAAGGAGCGAGGGAGAUGUGCAUCUCUCCAGAAACUCUUGCAGAUUCCUGGAAGCAGGUGAACGCCGGCUGCCUCUGACAUCACUUUUUUUCCAUGGCAACACAGAAAGACGACAUUGGGGUUUUGACAGGGGAGUCACAAGGGCUUGCAUGGCCUGGACACAGCGAAAGGCCUGGACGUCACAGGAGGUGUUGUCUUCCUGUGGUGAGAAAAGUGGUGACUUCCCCCUUUUCGUGCAUGUAUUUUUAAUCAUUUUUAUGAACCUGUUGAAUUCUGUGCA